rnacentral:rRNA from 1 species
UGGUCCUGACACUAGAAGGAUUGACAGAUUGAUAGCUCUUUCUUGAUUUGGUGGAUGGUGGUGCAUGGCCGUUCUUAGUUGGUGGAGUGAUUUGUCUGGUUAAUUCCGAUAACGAACGAGACUCUAGCCUAUUAAAUAACACACAGAAUCAUGUCUUCUGCGGUGUUUCUUAAUGGGAUCAAGUGUGUUUAACACUUUGAAACAGAGCAAUAACAGGUCUGUGAUGCCCUUAGAUGUUCGGGGCCGCACGCGCGCUACAUUGAAAGACAAAAUGAGCGUUUCUGGUUUUUAACAAAACUAGUAAUCUUUGAAUGUUUUUCUUAAUGGGGAUAGGGGAUUGCAAUUGUGCCCCUUGAACGAGGAAUUCCCAGUAAGUGCUAGUCAUUAGCUAGU